AGUGAACGCUGGCGGUAGGCCUAACACAUGCAAGUCGAACGGCCGCACAGUAAGAGCUUGCUCUUACGGGUGGCGGCGGGCGGGUGGGUAAGAAGUGCAUAGCAUUCCUCUUUUACUGGGGGAACAUCGUGGGAAAGGUUCUAAUACCGCAUAACAUGUCGAACGGCUUAAAUCAGCAGUGCUAGGCGCUUUGGCCGUUACAUAUAGAUGAAUCCGUGUCGGAUUAGCUAGUUGGUAAGGUAACGGCCUACCAAGGCAACGAUGCGUAGCUGACCUGAGAGGAUGAUCGGCCACACUGGAACUGAGACACGGUCCAGACUCCUACGGGAGGCAGCAGUGGGGAAUAUUGGACAAUGGGCGCAAGCCUGAUCCAGCAAUACCGCGUGAGUGAAGAAGGCCUUCGGGUUGUAAAGCCCUUUUGUUGGGAAAGAAAAGCAGCAGGUGAAUACACCGCUGUUCUGACGGUACCCAAAGAGAAAGCACCGGCUAACUUCGUG
rnacentral:rRNA from 1 species